UGUUCGUGUGUGCGCCGUGCGUUAUUUUUUGGGGUCGCUUUCUGGGCAAAUCGACUUCUUAUAGAUCAGUGUUCUCGGGGUUUCGACAGCGUGUAGUGUGUUUGAAACGCUAAGUGAUUUCUUCAAUUUUUCUCCCUCGAUAAGGUAAAACAAAAACACAAACACCAUGGACGCCAUCAAGAAGAAGAUGCAAGCGAUGAAGCUUGAGAAAGAUAAUGCCAUUGAUAAGGCAGAUACUUGCGAGAAUCAAGCUAAGGAUGCCAACUCCCGCGCUGACAAACUGAAUGAGGAAGUGCGCGAUUUGGAGAAGAAAUUUGUGCAGGUUGAGGUCGAUUUGGUCUCAUCCAAGGAGGCUCUAGAGAAAGCCAACCAGGAAUUGGAAGAGAAGGAGAAAUUGUUGACCUCAACGGAGUCUGAGGUUGCCACCUUGAACCGUAAGGUCCAACAGAUUGAAGAAGAUUUGGAGAAAUCUGAGGAGCGCUCAACUACCGCACAACAAAAAUUGUUGGAGGCCACACAAUCGGCCGAUGAGAACAAUCGUAUGUGCAAAGUAUUGGAGAACCGUUCGCAGCAGGAUGAGGAACGUAUGGAUCAAUUGACCAACCAAUUGAAGGAAGCCCGUAUGUUGGCUGAGGACGCCGAUACCAAAUCCGAUGAAGUUUCUCGCAAGCUGGCCUUCGUUGAAGAUGAGUUGGAAGUCGCUGAGGAUCGUGUGCGUUCCGGUGAAUCCAAGAUCAUGGAGCUGGAGGAAGAAUUGAAGGUUGUCGGUAACUCCUUGAAAUCUUUGGAAGUCUCUGAGGAGAAGGCUAACCAGCGUGUUGAGGAAUUCAAGCGUGAAAUGAAGACUUUGUCCGUCAAAUUGAAGGAAGCCGAACAGCGCGCUGAACACGCUGAGAAGCAAGUGAAGCGCCUGCAGAAGGAAGUCGACAGGCUAGAAGACCGUCUCUUCCAUGAGAAAGAAAAAUACAAAGCAAUCUGCGACGAUUUGGACUCGACAUUUGCCGAACUCACAGGAUAUUAAAAAAAGCAAAAGACAAAAACAAAACAUAAAAAGACACACAAAUGUCCCAUCUUCCCACCCCAUCAAAAAAAAAAGACAGAAACAUUAAAAGUUUUCCAUUUCACACAGUGUAUCUUGCACAAUUUAUUGCCAAAAUUACUUUCACAAUUUACACUGUAAAUAAUUUGUCUAGUCUAGAUUAUUGUGGCACACGAUUUUUGACCACAUCGACUCAAGCUUACACUGUUAAACAAAUAUGCCCAAAUAUGAAAAUCCAACUGUAUUUAUUUUUGCUUCAAACCAGACGAAUUGGGCGUCAACAAGGACAGAUACAAGUCUCUGGCCGACGAGAUGGACUCCACAUUCGCCGAAUUGGCUGGUUAUUAAUCGGGGCGCUCGGCAGAGGCAGAGUGGCAACAACAACUAUCAAUAUCAGAACAGGAGGAACUCAAUUAAAUGUUACGAAUAUAUCAAAAUCUUUUUUGAACCAAGUACCAAAACAAGAACUAUUGUGUAUAUCUUUAUAACAAAUAUUUCUAAAUAAAUAAAUAAUAAUUACAUAAAGAGCUGCAAUUCAAGAACAAAA